rnacentral:rRNA from 1 species
UACGAAGGGGGCUAGCGUUACUCGGAUUGACUGGGCGUAAAGGGCGCGUAGGCGGCGCGGAUAGUCGGCGGUGAAAGCCCGGAGCUCAACUCCGGGUCGGCCGUCGAUACUUCCGGGCUUGAGCACUGUAGAGGCAGAUGGAAUUCCGGGUGUAGCGGUGGAAUGCGUAGAGAUCCGGAAGAACACCGGUGGCGAAGGCGGUCUGCUGGGCAGUUGCUGACGCUGAUGCGCGACAGCGUGGGGAGCAAACAGG